rnacentral:rRNA from 1 species
UACGUAGGGUGCGAGCGUUAAUCGGAAUUACUGGGCGUAAAGCGUGCGCAGGCGGUUCGUCGUGUCCGAUGUGAAAGCCCCGGGCUCAACCGGGGAACUGCGUCUGAUACUGGAUGGCUUGAGAUUGGGAGAGGGAUGCGGAAUUCCUGGUGUAGCGGUGAAAUGCGCAGAUAUCAGGAGGAACACCGGUGGCGAAGGCGGGUCUCUGGGCCGAAACUGACGCUGAGGAGCGAAAGCGUGGGGAGCGAACAGG